rnacentral:rRNA from 1 species
GAAACUCAAAGGAAUUGACGGGGACCCGCACAAGCGGUGGAUGAUGUGGUUUAAUUCGAUGCAACGCGAAAACCUUACCCACCUUUGACAUGUACGGAAUUUUCCAGAGAUGGAUUAGUGCUCGAAAGAGAACCGUAACACAGGUGCUGCAUGGCUGUCGUCAGCUCGUGUCGUGAGAUGUUGGGUUAAGUCCCGCAACGAGCGCAACCCUUGUCAGUAGUUGCUACAUUUAGUUGGGCACUCUAAUGAGACUGCCGGUGACAAACCGGAGGAAGGUGGGGAUGACGUCAAGUCCUCAUGGCCCUUAUGUCCAGGGCUACACACGUGCUACAAUGGCCGGUACAAAGGGUAGCAAGACCGCGAGGUGGAGCCAACCCCAAAAAGCCGGUCUCAGUUCGGAUUGGAGUCUGCAACUCGACUCCAUGAAGUUGGAAUCGCUAGUAAUCGUGGAUCAGCAUGCCACGGUGAAUACGUUCCCGGGCCUU